UGGGGAAUAUUGGACAAUGGGGGCAACCCUGAUCCAGCCAUGCCGCGUGAGUGAUGAAGGCCUUCGGGUUGUAAAGCUCUUUUGGCGGGGACGAUGAUGACGGUACCCGCAGAAUAAGCCCCGGCUAACUUCGUGCCAGCAGCCGCGGUAAGACGAAGGGGGCUAGCGUUGUUCGGAAUUACUGGGCGUAAAGCGAGUGUAGGCGGUUGCCGUAGUCAGGUGUGAAAGCCUUGAGCUCAACUCAAGAAAUGCACUUGAUACUGGGUGACUAGAGGACCGGAGAGGAUAGUGGAAUUCCCAGUGUAGUGGUGAAAUACGUAGAGAUUGGGAAGAACACCAGUGGCGAAGGCGGCUAUCUGGACGGUUACUGACGCUAAGACUCGAAAGCGUGGGGAGCAAAACAGGAUUAGAUACCCUGGUAGUCCACG
rnacentral:rRNA from 1 species